AUAUAUAUAUAUAUGUAUACAAUAAACUUAGAUUUCAAAUGACAAAACAUACAACUUGGCAAAUACAAAAUAAAAUAAAAAUAAAAUACAAUGCAACUUAAAUAAAAGUAAUUUUCCUUAUCUUGCUGCAAAUUGUUACACUUGAUAAAAAAAAAGAACAUAGCCAAAAUGUAAAUGCAAGUAGACAGCCUUUUGAGUUUUAUGUCAAUAUCGGCACACAGAUAGUCAAUCAAUAUCACAAGAGUGACAUAAUAAAGUGCUAAAUCUGUUAUAUGAGCUAGUUAGUUAAAUAAGAAAGUUUAAAUAUAUGUAUUAAUAUAUAUAUAUAAUACAUACCUACUUUGUAUGGCUAGUACCCCCUCCCCCCCCCCCU